GCUACCAUGGUGUAGUGGUUUGAGUGUUGGACUAUGACUCUCAAAGCCAGGGUUCAAAUCCCAGCUCCAUCA